rnacentral:rRNA from 1 species
UACGUGGGGGGCAAGCGUUGUCCGGAUUUAUUGGGCGUAAAGCGCGUGUAGGCGGCCAGGUAGGUCCGCUGUGAAAACCCGAGGCUCAACCUCGGGACGUUGGCGGAAACCAUUUGGCUAGAGUCCGGAAGAGGAGAGUGGAAUUCCCGGUGUAGCGGUGAAAUGCGCAGAUAUCGGGAAGAACACCCGUGGCGAAGGCGGCUCUCUGGGACGGUACUGACGCUGAGACGCGAAAGCGUGGGGAGCGAACAGG